rnacentral:rRNA from 1 species
GAUGAACGCUGGCGGCGUGCCUAAUACAUGCAAGUCGAGCGAACAGAUGAGGAGCUUGCUUCUCUGACGUUAGCGGCGGACGGGUGAGUAACACGUGGAUAACCUACCUAUAAGACUGGGAUAACUUCGGGAAACCGGAGCUAAUACCGGAUAAUAUAUUGAACCGCAUGGUUCAAUAGUUAAAGACGGUUUUGCUGUCACUUAUAGAUGGAUCCGCGCCGCAUUAGCUAGUUGGUAAGGUAACGGCUUACCAAGGCAACGAUGCGUAGCCGACCUGAGAGGGUGAUCGGCCACACUGGAACUGAGACACGGUCCAGACUCCUACGGGAGGCAGCAGUAGGGAAUCUUCCGCAAUGGGCGAAAGCCUGACGGAGCAACGCCGCGUGAGUGAUGAAGGUCUUCGGAUCGUAAAACUCUGUUAUUAGGGAAGAACAAAUGUGUAAGUAACUAUGCACGUCUUGACGGUACCUAAUCAGAAAGCCACGGCUAACUACGUG